AUAUUUACAAAAUAAAUUCUUUUGUAGGCAUUUUUACAAAUUAACCGUGUACCUAACUCAAUUCUUGAAUGUGUAAUAGAACACAUAUGUAAAACGGAUGUUCUUGUAUUCAUUGGUACAAUUCAUUCUUUGGAACAAUGAAGACGCUGCUCGAUGUUUUAAACUUCUUAUUAAAGAUAUUAUCAAAGCAACUAUUAUAUACAUUAAUUUUUUCUUUAUUUUUUAAUAAUAUUUUCCAUGUAUGGAUCAAUGUAAAACGAAUUCUGCACUGGUUCAUAUUUUUCGAAAAUAUUAUUACAAAAUAAAUAAUUUUGUAGGCAUUUUUACAAAUUUAACGUGUACCUAACUCGGUCCUUGAACGUGUAAUAGAAUAACUAUUAUAUACAUUAAGUAUUUUUAUUUUUUCAAUAAUAUUUUCCUUGUAUGGAUCAAUGUAAAACGAAUUUUGCACUGGUUUAUAUUUUUUGGAAAUAUUAUUACUAAAUAAAUUUUUUUGUAGGCAUUUUUACAAAUUAACCGUGUACCAUAUUCGGUCCUUAAACGUGAAAUAAAACACAUAUGUAAAACGGAUGUUUUUGUAUUCAAUGGUAAAAUUCAUUCAUUGGAACAAUGAAGACGUUGCUCGAUGUUUUAAACUUCUUAUUAAAGAUAUUAUCAGAGAAACUAUUAUAUUUUUUAAGUAUUUUUAUUUUUCAAUAAUAUAUUCCUUGUAUGGAUUAAUGUAAAACGAAUUUUGCACUGGUUUAUAUUUUUUGGAAAUAUUAUUACUAAAUAAAUUCUUUUGUAGGCAUUUUUACAAAUAUAAUGUUUAUGAAUUCAUUUAUUGGAACAAUGAAGACGUUGCUCGAUGUUUUAAACUUCUUAUUAAAGAUAUUAUCAGAGAAACUAUUAUAUACAUUAAUUUUUUUUUAAUUUUUCAAUAAUAUUUUCCAUGUAUGGAUCAAUGUAAAACGAAUUAUGCUCUGGUUUUUAUUUUUUGAAAAUAUUAUUCCUUAAUAAAUUCUGUUGUAGGCAUUUUUACAAAAUUUAUGUUUAUAAAUUCAUUUAUUGGAACAAUGAAGACGUUGCUCGAUGUUUUAAACUUCUUAUUAAAGAUAUUAUCAGAGAAACUAUUAUAUACAUUAAUUUUUUUUUUAUUUUUCAAUAAUAUUUUCCAUGUAUGGAUCAAUGUAAAACGAAUUUUGCACUGGUUUAUAUUUUUUGGAAAUAUUAUUACUAAAUAAAUUCUUUUGUAGGUAUUUUUACAAAUUAUCCGUGUACCAUAUUCGGUCCUUAAACGUGAAAUAAAACACAUAUGUAAAACGGAUGUUUUUGUAUUCAAUGGUAAAAUUCAUUCAUUGGAACAAUGAAGACGUUGCUCGAUGUUUUAAACUUCUUAUUAAAGAUAUUAUCAGAGAAACUAUUAUNUAUUG